ensembl:lncRNA LINC00595 long intergenic non-protein coding RNA 595
GAUUUGGAGAGCGGAGGAAUGAAGGAGAGCAGAGAGGAGAGGCUUGGAGAUGAGGAAACUGAGUCUCAGAGAAGUCGAGGGACUGGCUCAGAGAUGUACAGCAUGGCAUUGCUGGAGCCGGCCUGGAAGACAAGCAGUCUCCCUCCAAUUGCACACUGUUUUCUCUGAGGCUCUGCAUUGUUGGAGGAAGGGUCAGAGGGGCUGGAGAGGAAGAAACAAUGCAAAUAUGAGGCAGCAGAAGGGAAAUAGAGGUACUGGGGGCUUCCAGCCUCAUGCUGCUUGCUCUCUCCUGAAUCCAUCGUUGGUCUUUCUGUCCUAAUCCGACCACUCCAUCGCCAGCCUCCAUUCCUCUGAAUGUUGAUAGAAGAGCUCCGGACUCUUUCCAGCUUUCCAGACUUUUCCACUCACACAGACUCAAGGGUCCUCCCAACUGUCUUGUGAAAAGAGGCCAUCCCAUUCCACAGGAGGGGAAACUGAGGCUUGGAAAAGGCACAUGGUCCCAUGUAGCGUCACUGUGGCUCUUCGGACUCUUCCAGGUCCCUCUGCCUGUCCUGGGCCUGCCAUUGUUCCACCUCCAGGUCUGCCCACUGCCUGCACCUCUCCUCCCCGUCUCACCUUGCCCUGCACUGCAGCUGCCACGACCUCCAGCAGCCCUUUAGACCAACGUCCUAAAGCGAUAAUGCCAUGAUGUUCCUGGCUUUUUCAAAACCCUUUUCCUAGAGUGUGUUAACCAGAAUGGCAGUCCCACGAGGAUCUCUGUGAUGAAAGGGCUUCAUGGUCAAAUAGUUUGGGAAACGUGGCUUCCUUUGUCCCUUCCUUCUCAGUUUGCCAAAUUUAAUUAUGCCACACCCCCAUGCACCUUCUUUUGUUUCAUGAUAUCAUUAUUUAAUACCCCAUUUUGGAAUAUUAUCUAAGAAAUGUGGCCUGAGGAAUGAAGUUCAAAUCUCUCCUCUUGGCGUCCAAAGGGCUUCACCAUCAGAUCUCAACCUUGUUUUCCACCGUGCCUCUCUUGGACAUCCAGAGCCCUUGCCCUCCCCUCAGUAGUCCCUGGUGUCCACAAAAUCCAUGGUCUCACCCUCCCUGUUUUUGCUCAGACCUCUCAACUCCCGUCAUGUAUCUCAGAGCUCUGUUUCUCCAGGGACACCCCCAACCUCUCACCCCUUGGCGGUGCACUGACUGCUGCAUCUCACUCAGCCAUUGGUUGGGUGCAAAGUAAAUUUUCUUUCCAGGCA